UAGGGAAUCUUCGGCAAUGGACGAAAGUCUGACCGAGCAACGCCGCGUGAGUGAAGAAGGUUUUCGGAUCGUAAAACUCUGUUGUUAGAGAAGAACAAGGACGUUAGUAACUGAACGUCCCCUGACGGUAUCUAACCAGAAAGCCACGGCUAACUACGUGCCAGCAGCCGCGGUAAUACGUAGGUGGCAAGCGUUGUCCGGAUUUAUUGGGCGUAAAGCGAGCGCAGGCGGUUUCUUAAGUCUGAUGUGAAAGCCCCCGGCUCAACCGGGGAGGGUCAGUGGAAACUGGGAGACUUGAGUGCAGAAGAGGAGAGUGGAAUUCCAUGUGUAGCGGUGAAAUGCGUAGAUAUAUGGAGGAACACCAGUGGCGAAGGCGGCUCUCUGGUCUGUAACUGACGCUCAGGUGCGAAAGCGUGGGGAGCAAACAGG
rnacentral:rRNA from 1 species